UGGCAGCACGCAUUGGAUGAUGGGGAGAAAUUCUGAGAAUUAGAGGCACGAAUAGCAAGGAGAUCAUCUGGGGGGAAAAACAGGUAUGGGAGUUUUGGUAGGGAGAGGAAUAAAGAUAGCAAAAAAAAGGAUUUUUUCUUUGGAGGAGUAUGCUGAAGAAGAGGAAGGAGAGAGGUGAUUCAUUACUCUGGCAGCCGCCUAAAGGUAAGUUCUUCAUUGCAAAGUAUGGACUCCUUUCCAGAUUUCUUUUGUUUUGAUAGAGACUCGUUGGAUGCUUUGGUGUGGUCAUCAGAGACAUAUUUGCUAAUCUUCGAUUUAUUUGGGCUAGGUUAUAGUGUUUUCACGUUUCACUUUUAUUGAUUUUUUUCAUCAAGAUCAGUUUGGUACUGUUUUAGUCUCUUUGUGAGUUGUCUUCAGUCGUGUUUUGAUUUCUAUUUGAAAUAUGUUUGAUUCCAAUUUGAAAUAUGUUUGAUUCUUUUUAUUUGAAAUGUGUUUGAUUUCACCCACCAAUUUAAACCUGUUGAUUCGGAACAUGAAAC
rnacentral:lncRNA from 1 species